CCUACGGGUGGCAGCAGUGGGGAAUAUUGCACAAUGGGGGGAACCCUGAUGCAGCGACGCCGCGUGGGUGAAGGAGUACUUCGGUACGUAAAGCCCUAUCAGCAGGAAAGAAAAUGACGGUACCUGACUAAGAAGCCCCGGCUAACUACGUGCCAGCAGCCGCGGUAAUACGUAGGGGGCAAGCGUUAUCCGGAUUCAUUGGGUUUAAUGGGUGCGCAGGCGGGCCUUUAAGCCGGCGGUGAAAUCGCGGGGCUCAACCCCGCCGAGCCGUCGAAACUGGGGGCCUUGAGUGCGGCGGAGGCAUGCGGAAUGCGCGGUGUAGCGGUGAAAUGCAUAGAUAUCGCGCAGAACCCCGAUUGCGAAGGCAGCGUGCCGUGCCGCCACUGACGCUGAGGCACGAAAGCGCGGGGAUCGAACAGGAUUAGAUACCCUGGUAGUC
rnacentral:rRNA from 1 species